rnacentral:misc_RNA from 1 species
ACAAACUUGGUCAUUUAGAGGAAGUAAAAGUCGUAACAAGGUUUCCGUAGGUGAACCUGCGGAAGGAUCAUUAGAGAGAAUCAAAAUGGCACAUCCAAGCGGGCACGUGUCCCUUGUUUGUGUCUUUUCUUCUUCUUCACCCUCAGAACGUAUUGUGCACACGGACCCUCUCGAAAGCGUUGUUUUCUUGAACAACUCUUUCCUAUUUUAUUUUACACGCUCAAACAUGUCUUGAAUGUUCAAAUAAACAAGAGUACAACUUUCAGCAACGGAUCUCUUGGCUCUCGCAUCGAUGAAGAACGCAGC